rnacentral:lncRNA from 1 species
GGAAGAACGGCACUUCUGACAUCAGAGGCUCCAGCUGAAAGGUUCCAAAUCUAGGAGCUGGAGUCCAUCACUCACAGGAAGAGAAGAUUAGGACACAGAGAUACCAGAGAGGUCGUUCACAGAGGAAAGACCAUGUGAAGACGCAGUGAGAAGGUGGCCAUAUUCAAGCUGAGGAGAGAGGCCUCAGAAGAAACCAAUACUGCCAACGCCUUGGUCUUGGACUUCCAGCCUCCAGAACUUGGACUCUACCUUCCUUCCCCUGAUUCUCAUGAGAAUCUGAUCAUUGCUAAAGUGGGCAAGGUCCUGGAUCAGAAGAUGCCUGACAAGAGGCCACUAUCAGCAGCAACAGCACAGUGGGGACAAACCUGAGACCUUGAUGGACCGUGGACACCAGCAGGAGAGACAGAGGAACUUGAAGUCUAAAUGGGCAGACAAGACCAACAUACACAAAGCAGAGAGUGGCACAAGAGCCAUGUCUGAUGCAACAGUGACUCAGGAGGAUCACUCUGACUCAGAAUGGCCAAGCAAAGGUUAGCGUGUUAAGUCUCUGAAGCUGAUUAACGGCUUAACUCAAGUUUUCGCACCUGCAGACCAGUGACCCCACCCCCGCACCCCCCCGCAAGGCAUCUGUUUGACAUCUCUUUAAUUUUAUUAGUGGCUUAUGGACAAAAUCACUUAACUUAAACUUUUUCAAGUGUAAGUUAUUUGGAUUCACAAGAGCAUUUUUCUCCCUGUUAUAAAUCAAUGAACCCAGUUAAGAUUAACUGCCUACAUGUGAGCUUCAAAAGAUCUUCUAUGGCCAGGCAAAGUUGAAAGAAACACAUAAUUCCAUAACAUGCUAAACACAAGUUGAUCAAAGUUUUUGGAGCUGGUUACUUAAUGCUGUACUUCCUCAUUCUCAAACAAUCUGAUUUCAAGUAGUUUGUGUCUAAAACACAUAUUACUAGACUGCAAACACUCAUCCUUUGGAAGAAAAAUCAUUUCUGUACCUUAACUGGUCAAAAUCUAUGUUUCAACAGACCUAAACUAAACUCUGGGCUAAACAUUCCUGAACCUAAUUUGUGAAAUUCCAUAAUGUUUGGAGAUUAAAGCAAAAAGAAAUGAAAAUAAAAGAAA